CAGUGGAGCUGGAGAAGGGUUGGAGCAUAAGUCUGAUGGGGAGCAGCUGAGGUAAUUGGGGUUGUUUAGCCUGGAGAAGAGAGGGCUCAGGGGUGACCUUAUCACUCUCUACAACUA